rnacentral:rRNA from 1 species
AUUGAACGCUGGCGGCAUGCCUUACACAUGCAAGUCGAACGGCAGCACGGGAGCAAUCCUGGUGGCGAGUGGCGAACGGGUGAGUAAUAUAUCGGAACGUGCCCAGUGAUGGGGGAUAGCCCGGCGAAAGCCGGAUUAAUACCGCAUACGACCUACGGGUGAAAGCAGGGGAUCGCAAGACCUUGCGUCAUUGGAGCGGCCGAUAUCAGAUUAGCUUGNGGUGGGGUAAAAGCCUACCAAGGCGACGAUCUGUAGCUGGUCUGAGAGGACGACCAGCCACACUGGGACUGAGACACGGCCCAGACUCCUACGGGAGGCAGCAGUGGGGAAUUUUGGAACAAUGGGCGCAAGCCUGAUCCAGCCAUGCCGCGUGCGGGAAGAAGGCC